GGCACAGAGCUCCUCAUUAGCCAAAUUCGCCCAAGUUCCCCAACCUUUAAGGAUUUCCUCAUAAUAAUGCAAGAAGAAGAGAAAAGUGAGUGUCCAUAGAAGCUUUGGGGCUCUUCCUCUAAUCAGGAGAAAGCUGCAGAAGGUCAUCAACUAACCUCUUGGCACCUAGCACCACAUGAAGACGCUCAAGCUAGACUUUAAAAUGAGAGACCCAGAGGAGAGACAGAAGCUCCACUAAAUCCAGAGAACACCUAGACUGAUUGAAAACAGAGGAAGCAAGGACAGCAAAGGGCGCUGCAGAGGCCAAGAGGGAAGGUUUUAGAAUGUUUCCCAAAGCAUGUCUGUUGGAAUGGUGGUCCCAUGAGAUACUCCUCUAAAAAAAGAAGGAGGUAAAAGAAUUAUUUGGCCAAAUCUUCUUUGAAAUCCUCUCCCUUUUAGAUUCAUCCUAAUAUUGGCAUAGUAAUGCCUCUUUAAAGAACUACAAUAAAGAAGCCUGUUUAUCUUUGCUU
rnacentral:lncRNA from 1 species